GGGUCAGUAGGUUGGUCGUGCCACCGGUACGUACUGGUCUCACUGAUUCCUCCUUCCUGAAGAACCGUAAUGCCAUUAAUUUGGUGUUGCGGGGAAACAGGACUGUUACUUUGAAAAAAUUAGAGUGUUUAAAGCAAGCUAACGCUUGAAUACAUUAGCAUGGAAUAAUGAAAUAGGGCGAUCGAUCCUUUUUUGUUGGUUUCUAGGAUUGACGUA
rnacentral:rRNA from 1 species